AACGAACGCUGGCGGCAGGCCUAACACAUGCCAGUCGAGCGCGCCCUUCGGGGUGAGCGGCGGACGGGUGAGUAACGCGUGGGAACGUGCCCUUUUCUACGGAAUAGCCUCGGGAAACUGAGAGUAAUACCGUAUACGCCCUUUGGGGGAAAGAGUUAUCGGAAAAGGAUCGGCCCGCGUUGGAUUAGGUAGUUGGUGGGGUAAUGGCCUACCAAGCCGACGAUCCAUAGCUGGUUUGAGAGGAUGAUCAGCCACACUGGGACUGAGACACGGCCCAGACUCCUACGGGAGGCAGCAGUGGGGAAUCUUAGACAAUGGGGGCAACCCUGAUCUAGCCAUGCCGCGUGAGUGAUGAAGGCCUUAGGGUUGUAAAGCUCUUUCAGCUGGGAAGAUAAUGACGGUACCAGCAGAAGAAGCCCCGGCUAACUCCGUG
rnacentral:rRNA from 1 species